GUUUUGAUGGCAGUGAAGUUAGUGAUUGCAAAGCGAUGGGUACAAUCAGCUAACUACACUGCCUACAAACC
rfam:Buceros rhinoceros silvestris contig135347, whole genome shotgun sequence.